CAGCGCUCAGGAGGGAGCGGUAGCCAUCUGUGCACGCGGAGGGCUGAGCAGCGCUUCCUCCCCUCGAGUGCUGAAAUGGGAAGGCGUUCAAAUUCCCAGCCUCCCUUCGGGACUCCACUUCCUGCCGCUAAUGUGUAAGAGCCUCAGACAUCCUCACUCGCUGGAGGGCGGAGGCUGUGCGACCGUAGUUGGGGGCAGGCGAGUCAUGAUCACAGGAAGGAUGCGCCCUUACUAUGCUGGCACCGCAUCAUCCUGGGGGCCGUGACCUGCUGCGUUGCAGAGAAGCCAGCCUAUCUCUGCCACUGUGUAGAGUCACCACUGUGAUUCGGGACCCCGCAUAAAGACACACCAGACAGUCGUGGCAGCGACUGGCUAGCUCCCUAAAGACUGAAGAUCUACCUUCAUCCGGGCUCUACAGAGCAUCCGCCUCGGCAGCUUUGGUCAUAGACUGAGACAAAGAUGACCACAGUUGAGACUGGGCCGGGUGACUGACUGGAGCUUGCAUGGGAAGUGAAAGCAUUAGGAAGCCCACCCAGCAUGGCAGCUCUUGCUGGUAAGCCCAUCCCUCAGAAGGCUGAGUGAGGUAAGAGGAUCGGCCUCGGAUGCGUAUCAAGACCCUGUCUCUAAUAAUAAGGAUUGUGGGAAUAGUAAUGAGUUAGGAGAUCUCCAACAUGUAGAGAAACCAUCAGGAAGGGGUUUUACUGAAAUGGUGUUUGCUACCAUCAUUGGAACCCUAGUGGUCCCAGAUAGGGGCUCUCAGCCUUUGCUCUAGCCUCCUCUGGACACAGGUUAGGUCCUCUACCAUCCCGUUCUGGUCCCAAGUGCCCUCAUGUAUAAAACCAAGAAGGGAAACAUUUCUCCGUGGAGAACGAACAAAAGUGGCUAAUAACUAUUGUCUUUGAGCCCUGAAUGUGACAGGGUGCUCCAAAAACCCUUAAUGAGAGGGGCCACCUGGGCCCCGCCCCUCUUAGCCACCAGCUUCACACAUCCUGUGCGUGGCUGACGCUGGGGCUGAGGAAGAGGCCUAGGCACCACUGGACUUCCUCUCCCGCCAGCAGCCAGCACCCAUGAAGCACUGUGGGCUGGCAUGCGGAGUAGCCGGCAGGCUGUCAGGAUGGUGUAGAGGAAGCUUGGCCUAAUGGCUCUGAUUCUUGACCAGGACUUUAGGGAGCCUUGUCUUCCUCGUGUCCCUGAGGCUGAGUCAUAGAGCCCCUAAAUGACCUCCCUAUGAGUAACUUCCUGCUUCAUCCAGAGGGACCAUUAUACGGAAUCCAAUCAGCCAUCUGGGCCUCUUCCUCCUUUCCCGGCUGAAACUGCCCUGGCCGUGGACAGAGAGAGACUCCGGCGCUGCCAGAGGUUAAGUAUGUGAUUGAUGUUGGGACCUGGGCUUGUCACUUCUUGUCCUGGUUUUUUUCUAUUGUGCCACAAAGCCCCAGUGAGGAAGGAGACCAAUGCUUCAGAUCCUUCAAGAGACUAGCUUUGGCCAUCCGAUGGUACAUGAUGCUGCACACAUUCCAAACACACGCAAGUUCCCAAAGAGAGCAAGCAGCACAGAUAGGAAGAGUCUCCAAGCCCAGAACAAAACAGACAGAGCAAAACAACAACAACAACAAAACCAAACAACAACAACAACAACAACAACAACAAAACCAGACAGAACAGAACAAAACAAACAAAACAAAAAAACCCACUUCCUAAUUUCACUUCUGCUCUUUUCCUGAGACACCACCACACACGAUUCCCUGGGUUUACAUUCAGCACGUAAAACAAAAAAAAAGAGGCAUGAAAUGGAGGUGCCACAGAAAACUCCCAGUGUUGAGCAUGCAGGGGAUUUGAUCACCUGCAUCCCGGGAAGAGUAUGGGGGAAACCAGAAGCAGGCAUAUGAACAAGGAAGAAAAGUUGGGACCUUGUGUCCAUUUUAAGUACUUUUGCAGGCAUCCAAGGUGUUUUACUUUAUUUUUAAAGAAAAGAGAAGCAGAGGUAUUGUGAUUUUGGUCCACCGCGGAUCUCCAUCUAAUCUAAACUCAUUUAUCCAUUUGCAUUAGUGGAUGUCUAGUUGGUUCUGGCUGUGCUGCCAGGCAAGAGGAACAAUGUGACACCUAGCACGUAUUCCGACAGCUAUGCCUCCACCCCAUGGUGUGUGCAUCUUCCUGUCCUUCCACGGUGGG